GACGAACGCUGGCGGCGUGCCUAAUACAUGCAAGUAGAACGCUGAAGAGAGGAGCUUACUCUUCUUGGAUGAGUUGCGGACGGGUGAGUAACGCGUAGGUAACCUGCCUUGUAGCGGGGGAUAACUAUUGGAAACGAUAGCUAAUACCGCAUAACAAUGGAUGACACAUGUCAUUUAUUUGAAAGGGGCAAUUGCUCCACUACAAGAUGGACCUGCGUUGUAUUAGCUAGUAGGUGAGGUAAUGGCUCACCUAGGCGACGAUACAUAGCCGACCUGAGAGGGUGAUCGGCCACACUGGGACUGAGACACGGCCCAGACUCCUACGGGAGGCAGCAGUAGGGAAUCUUCGGCAAUGGGGGCAAACCUGACCGAGCAACGCCGCGUGAGUGAAGAAGGUUUUCGGAUCGUAAAGCUCUGUUGUAAGUCAAGAACGGGUGUGAGAGUGGAAAGUUCACACUGUGACGGUAGCUGACCAGAAAGGGACGGCUAACUACGUG
rnacentral:rRNA from 1 species